rnacentral:rRNA from 1 species
AUUGAACGCUGGCGGCAGGCCUAACACAUGCAAGUCGAGCGGAGGAAGGGAGCUUGCUCCUGGAUUCAGCGGCGGACGGGUGAGUAAUGCCUAGGAAUCUGCCUGGUAGUGGGGGAUAACGUCCGGAAACGGGCGCUAAUACCGCAUACGUCCUGAGGGAGAAAGUGGGGGAUCUUCGGACCUCACGCUAUCAGAUGAGCCUAGGUCGGAUUAGCUAGUUGGUGGGGUAAAGGCCUACCAAGGCGACGAUCCGUAACUGGUCUGAGAGGAUGAUCAGUCACACUGGAACUGGGACACGGUCCCGACUCCUACGGGAGGCAGCAGUGGGGAAUAUUAGACAAUGGGCGAAAGCCUGAUCCAGCCAUGCCGCGUGUGUGAAGAAGGUCUUCGGAUUGUAAAGCACUUUAAGUUGGGAGGAAGGGCAGUAAGUUAAUACCUUGCUGUUUUGACGUUACCAACAGAAUAAGCACCGGCUAACUUCGUG